UAAUAAGUGUUUUAUGGCACGUUUUAAAUCCAUAUCCACCUUGUGUGCAAUGUCAGUCGAUCUUCUUCAUGGAGAUCGACCAAACAUCAACCUUUAUCUUUUAACUCUUUGUCUGAAAAAUAUUAUGAAUAAACAAUUCAAAAUA
rnacentral:misc_RNA from 1 species